UCCCUGGUGGUGCAGUGACUAAGACUCUGCACUCCCAAUGCAGAGGGCCCGGGUUUGAUCCUGGGUCAGGGAG
rfam:TPA: Bos taurus chromosome 12, whole genome shotgun sequence.